rnacentral:rRNA from 1 species
AGAGUUUGUAUCCUGGCUCAGGAGUGAACGCUGGCGGCGUGCCUAACACAUGCAAGUCGAACGGAGAUUUAACGCUGAUGAGGCUUCGGCGGAUUCUUGUUAAAUCUUAGUGGCGGACGGGUGAGUAACGCGUGGGCAACCUGCCUCAUACUGGGGGAUAACAGCUGGAAACGACUGUUAAUACCGCAUAAGCGCACAGUAUCGCAUGAUACAGUGUGAAAAACUCCGGUGGUAUGAGAUGGGCCCGCGUCAGAUUAGCCAGUUGGCAGGGUAACGGCCUACCAAAGCAACGAUCGGUAGCCGACCUGAGAGGGUGAUCGGCCACAUUGGAACUGAGAGACGGUCCAAACUCC